rnacentral:rRNA from 1 species
AUUGAACGCUGGCGGAAUGCUUUACACAUGCAAGUCGAACGGCAGCACGGGUGCUUGCACCUGGUGGCGAGUGGCGAACGGGUGAGUAAUACAUCGGAACGUACCCUGACGUGGGGGAUAACGUAGCGAAAGUUACGCUAAUACCGCAUACGUCCUGAGGGAGAAAGCAGGGGAUCGUAAGACCUUGCGCGUCAGGAGCGGCCGAUGGCGGAUUAGCUAGUUGGUAGGGUAAAGGCCUACCCAGGCGACGAUCCGUAGCGGGUCUGAGAGGACGACCCGCCACACUGGAACUGAGACACGGUCAGACUCCUACGGGAGGCAGCAGUGGGGAAUUUUGGACAAUGGGCGAAAGCCUGAUCCAGCCAUUCCGCGUGAGUGAAGAAGGCCUUCGGGUUGUAAAGCUCUUUCGGCAGGGAAGAAACGGUUUUGGAUAAUACCCAGAACUAAUGACGGUACCUGAAGAAGAAGCACCGGCUAACUACGUGCCAGCCGCCGCAGUAA